rnacentral:rRNA from 1 species
GAUGAACGCUAGCGGCAGGCCUAACACAUGCAAGUCGAGGGGCAUCGCGGUGCAGCAAUGCACUGGCGGCGACCGGCGUACGGGUGCGUAACGCGUAUGCAACCUGCCCCGCACCGGGGGAUAGCCCGCCGAAAGGCGGAUUAAUACCCCAUGGUCCCGGGGGCCCGCAUGGGCAUCCGGGUAAAGCCUUGGCGGUGCGGGAUGGGCAUGCGUGCCAUUAGCUGGCUGGUGGGGUAACGGCCCACCAGGGCAACGAUGGCUAGGGGGUCUGAGAGGAUGGUCCCCCACACUGGUACUGAGACACGGACCAGACUCCUACGGGAGGCAGCAGUGAGGAAUAUUGGUCAAUGGGCGGAAGCCUGAACCAGCCAUGCCGCGUGCGGGAUGAAGGCCCUACGGGUUGUAAACCGCUUUUCCCCGGGAGAAUAACCCCGAUGAGUCGGGUGAUGCCGGUACCGGGGAAUAAGGAUCGGCUAACUCCGUGCCAGCAGCCGCGGUGAAAUCACGUGUA